rnacentral:rRNA from 1 species
AUUGAACGCUGGCGGCAGGCCUAACACAUGCAAGUCGAACGAGCGGCGGACGGGUGAGUAAUGUCUGGGAAACUGCCCGAUGGAGGGGGAUCACUACUGGAAACGGUGGCUAAUACCGCAUACCAUCGGAUGUACCCAGAUGGGAUUAGAUAGUAGGUGGGGUAAAGGCUCACCUAGGCGACGAUCCCUAGCUGGGCUGAGAGGCAGACCAGCCACCCUGGGACUGAGACACGGUCCGGACUCCUACGGGAGGCAGCAGUGGGGAAUAGUGCACAAGGGGCGCAAGCCUGAUGCAGCCAUGCCGCGUGUAUGAAGAAGGCCUUCGGGUUGUAAAGUACUUUCAGCGAGGAGGCGUUACUCGCAGAAGAAGCACCGGCUAACUCCGUGCCAGCAGCCGCGGUAAUUC